rnacentral:rRNA from 1 species
CUGACCUGCCCUAUGAGAAAUUAAAUGGCCGCGGUAUUUUAACCGUGCAAAGGUAGCAUAGUCACUUGUCUCUUAAUUGGAGGCUUGAAUGAAGGGUUGGACGAGAUAUAAACUUUCUUUAUUAUAAUYAGUUGAAUUUGACUUUUGAGUCAAAAGGCUUAAAUAUAUUUAUAGGACGAGAAGACCCUAUAGAAUUUUAUAUUUUUAUUUUAAUAAUUUAUUUGUUUAUAAUUAAAUUUUUUUUAUAAAAAUAUUUUGUUGGGGCGAUGGGAAGAUUUUUUUAACUCU